rnacentral:sRNA from 1 species
GCUGCGUGCAGGGGCGCACGCCUGUAAUCCCAGCAGCUCGGGAGGCUGAGGCAGGAGGAUCACGAGUUCAAAACCAACCUCAGCAAUAGCCAGGUGCUAGGCAACUCAGUGAGACCCUGUUUCUA